AGGCUGCAACUCGCCUGCAUGAAGUCGGAAUUGCUAGUAAUCGCGGAUCAGCAUGCCGCGGUGAAUACGUUCUCGGGCCUUGUACACACCGCCCGUCACACCAUGGGAGUCGGUAACACCCGAAGUCUGUAGCCUGACGCAAGAGGGCGCAGCCGAAGGUGGGAUUGAUGACUGGGGUGAAGUCGUAACAAGGUACC
rnacentral:rRNA from 1 species